GUGUAAUUGACUGUAUAUUACAUGGGGUUGUCUGUUGAAUGUUUAAAGCAUCUUGAGCUGCUUUACCAUUGGAAAGGUGGUAUAAGUCCUUUCUGUAGGCGAUAAAGGUCAUGGCACUUAAUGGAUGGAUAGAUAGCUUUGGCACUUAAGACGAGCGCGAGACUAAAGCCAGGCAGCCACGUAGCGCGAGCUCUGCCGAGAAUCUCCAGCUUUAGCACGGUAAACAGUGGAGGGCGGUAGUUGCAGAAGAAACUCAUUAUUCCGCACAGAACGCAUGCAAACAGCUGUAAAAGAUCCAUACGUGCUCGCUCAUAUCGCCGAGGUGAUCUCUAUUUCGAUUUGCAAACCAUAUUGAUUUCUCCGAUUAUUCUUUCACGCCCGUGGAGCUCGCGCUCUGCAACUCCGAGUGCUCGCGAUGACGGAGAGGGCGCUCGUGCUUCGGGUGAGUAGUCCAGCGGAGACCGGAGCUCGCCACAACUUCUAUUUCCCCUCCACCCCCCUUUCAUUUGCAAUUAUUUACAAAACAAUAACAAUAAUGACAUCCGUUCGUCUGUCGCGAAACGGCACAGAAAUCCUCGCACGAGGAUCUGCAAAGGUAUGUCACUGUCACAAACAAACAGUGCUCGUUUUGGAGACUUAUUUGUCAAUCUGUAGAUGGCUUUUUUUGUUGUUGUUUGUUUGUUUGUUUGUUCGGAAUCGAGCACGAGGAUUGCUCAAAUGUUUUUGCUUGACGUUAAAUGUUUGUUUGCAAACAAAACCAUGCAAAGCAACGUCGCGCGCUGCGGUGCAGUUUGGAUUUGCAAGCGUGCAGCAGAGCAUGGGAACGUUAGCAAACGUGUAUGUGCGAAAGGGGAGAAAGAGAAAAAAUCUCAGGAGCAGCGUGUUGUAAAUCUGGGCGCCUUUUGAUGGUUUUGUGAAAAAAGAGGCAAAGUCUUAAGCAUACCGCUAGGCUUGUGGUUAUGUCAGUUAAUGCAGUUUGCUGUUGGAAAUGGUGUAUCUGGGAAGCAGGGAUUAAAAAAAUAUAAAGCAUAUGAGGCAGCACUGUGUGUACGGUCUGGUAUUUGUUUAGCUAGCUAGCCAGUUGCUAACUACAUUCACAGAGUCCCAUUGCACGCAGCUGUGUUCUUGCUAACUGACUAGCACUACUCGGUUAGCCCAAAACGGCCUGCUGCUUGUCUCGUUUUGACCAACCAAGGUUUCCUUCAGCUUAACCCUUUCUUUGCGCUCUUUUCCUUGAAAGUUGUUCAUUGUCUACAAGGCUGCUUUUUGUCCACAGCCUUUCACAGGUGUUGCUAGAUUGAGGUUGUUCAACCGUGGCCUUUCUAUAACGGAGCUGAUUUUUGGUGCUGGACGCAAGGCCUUUCUGAAACACGAGUGGUUCUUGUUGUUUUUGUUUUUGUUUUUGGUUAAAGCAGAGUUAGAGCUAAGCGAACUUUUUUGCCAAGCUCGAGGGAGGAAUUUCUACUUCCCUGCUUUAGAAACUUGUAGACCUGGGUCAACUGACAGCUAUUCGGAAUAUGUUUUGUCCAUCACAACAAACUAGUAUGUAUUAAGGACAUGAUUAGCAUUAGCUAAAAUAACUGUAACUCCUAUUCCUUGUUUACAAUCCGUGCCAUAAAAGGGCCUUUAGGAUACAUGUUGAAUAUUUCUCGACCCCCCCAAAAAAAUGGUUGCUUCAUGUCCUGUCAGUCCAUGAAACAGGACAUGAAGCUACCAUUUUUGGUGUUUCAUGAAACACUUUGAUGAAUAUGUUUAUUGAGUUUUUGGACAUUUUCGUUAAAAACAAACAGUCGAGGGAUAGACUAUGACAUGAAGUGUUUACUUGGUAAGUAAAUAGACCACUGAAAGAUUCGUUUAGGUUUAGUUUAUUGUUUUAAAACAACAGAUGUUGGAACCAAAAGUGCUGUACAAGAAAUAUAAAACAGUAUUAAAAACUAAACAACAACAAAAAAGGACCAAUGAAAAAAUUUACACCCUCAGUGAAAACAUAUUGAAAACAAAAAGGUCUUCGAGGAGGAUUUAAACACAGGAACAGAAUUAGAAGAUCUAAUGUGGAGAGUAGUGAUGGGAAGUUCGGAUCGUUUCAGCAGAAUAUAAUUAAAACGUUGCAUGUUAAAUUCCCCAACUCUUUUAGUACUUAUGCAAACGAUCACAUUUGGAAUAAAAUGUAAAAAAAAAAAUAAUAAUAAUUUAAAAAAAUAUAUAGGUUAAUGCAGCCAAGGCUGAAUUAUGAGAAACAGAAAUUAUUCAUUAAUUGCUUAGCAUUAUGUCUUCAGGCUGUGCAAUCUGUUAGGUCACCUCCCGAUCCGAGUCGUUCUUUUGUCACGUCACGUUUGUAACGUCUGUUCCCCGUGUCUUGAGUGUUUGGGUUCGAGUUGUUUGUACGUCUCGUCACGUGAACUAGUCAUUUCUGUUUCCUGUGCAAAACCUAUGGGGAUGUUGCAGCGCAUGCAUGGUCAUAAAGUUAACAAAUCACUCUCUGAGACAACUCGUUCAAAAUGAGCGAAUCAUUCAUGAAU
ensembl:lncRNA